rnacentral:piRNA from 1 species
UAACAAGUCUCAUCAACAAACACCCUCUAGC